rnacentral:lncRNA from 1 species
GGGGGGGGGGGGGGGGGGGGGGGGGGGGGGGGGGGGGGGGGGGGGGGGGGGGGGGGGGGGGGGGGGGGGGGGGGGGGGGGGGGGGGGGGGGGGGGGGGGGGGGGGGGGGGGGGGGCGGGAGAGGCGGAUGGGGAGCGCGCCCGGGGGCCGCAGCAGCGAGUGGGAUGUAGCGCUGGAUUGCUGCGGUGGGAUCCGGCCCUGUUCGUCCCGGAGAAGCCAGAUGGUGCCGAGGCGAGCGGCGGGGGGGGGGGGGGGGGGGGGGGGGGGGGGGCCCGGAGAAGCCAGAUGGUUCCGAGGCGAGCGGCGGUCGCCUCGCGUCGUCCUCACCCGCGAGGCGCGCAGUGGUACGGCCGAGGAACCUCUCCUUCCCCUCACCCAGCAGGUCCCAGCGAGGGGCGGGAGCUGCCAUGUGCCAGCGCUUCCCCCAGCUGUGCCGCCCGCCCGGAGCGGCCGCUCCGCCUGCGGGGUGCAAAUCGAAACGUCUCCUAGUGUUUUCCUGACGGGCCAUGUUUUUUCUUAGUGAGGUAACAGCCCAGGGAACAGGUCUGGGGUAGGACAGGGGACACCCCCGUCACGCUGACUGCAGAGAUCACCCCACAGCCGCGAUCACCCCACAGCCGCAUGGGUUGGAAGGGACAUCCCACAGCCACACAGGUCAGGAGAUCAUCCCACAGCCACAUAGCUUGGGGGAUUCAUCCCACAGCCACACAGGUUGGCGGGGAUAUCCCACAGCCACACAGGUCAGGAGAUCGUCCCACAGCCACACAGGUCAGGAGAUCAUCCCACAGCCACAUAGCUUGGGGGAUUCAUCCCACAGCCACACAGGUUGGCGGGGAUAUCCCACAGCCACACAGGUCAGGAGAUCGUCCCACAGCCACACAGGUCAGGAGAUCAUCCCACAGCCACAUAGCUUGGGGGAUUCAUCCCACAGCCACACAGGUUGGCGGGGAUAUCCCACAGCCACACAGGUCAGGAGAUCGUCCCACAGCCACACAGGUCAGGAGAUCAUCCCACAGCCACACAGCUUGGAAGGGACAUCCCACAGCCACACAGGUUGAGGGGACAUCCCACACCCACACAGUUUGUGGGGAUUACCCCACAGCCACACAGCUUGGGGGGACACCCCACAGCCACACAGCUUGGAUCCCACGGCCAGUUGCAUUGCCAGAAGAACAAGUUGCUGAACUGUACCCUCGAGACCCAGAGAAAUCACCAGGGAAGUACAAUUUUCUUGCCUUAUGUUUAAAUCAGGCACAAAAUCAGAAUCUUCCAGAGGCCAGUAAUUCACACAGAGUAUACAUAGGAAAAGUUGAGCAUGCUUUACCAGACCUAAGCACAAAUGUGUGA